GUCUCUCGACAACAGAUAUCUUAGCUCUUGCAUCAAUAAAAAACGUAGAAAAAUGCGAUACUUGGUGUGAAUUGCAUAAUUCCAGAGUAUUUGAACAAAAGUUGCGCCGGAAGCCAUUAGGCCGAGGGCACGUCUGCCUGGGCGUCA
rfam:Capsicum annuum cultivar Zunla-1 unplaced genomic scaffold scaffold49379, whole genome shotgun sequence